UCUACGAUAGAUUCGUUUGUGUAUCUUUCGUGCGCGCUCGUGUCGAUUUACCUGUUUCUUCUUUUUUUUUUUUUCAUUUUUACCAUAAUGUGUGUACCAAGGCGUGUCAAAGAUACAAGGUUGCCAUAUGUGGUGUAGUUGGAUGAAAUGUUUGCGUGAUAACUUUUGGACCUCUUUGAUCAUCCAUUGACGAGUUGGUCGUGACAGUACGAGUAUUCCCGUAUGUUGAUAAAAAAUGAAAUUGGGAAUUAUGGGAGGAGAUAUUUUGGAAAAGUGUAUAUGCACAAUUUUGUGGUAAGAUUUUAAUUUCGAGAUUGAGCGAAGUGAGGGGGUGAGAAAAUUAUAUUGGAGGAAAGUUGAAGGUUGAUAUGAUAAUUUAUUAAAAUCUCACGAUUCGAUGAAUCCUCGUAUUGAAUUUUAAUUUGUGCACUUACCUAAGACGGCUAAGUGCAUUUGGACGAGUGCGAUUGGCAAAGUCGUACUUCCGGUUUCCCGCCGACGACGUCGCACUGGAUAAUAAAUAAUAUCGGAAGGAUGCUCGAUUGCCGAUUAUCGGUAAAUUCCAAAGUCUCCCGUUUCAUUGGAUCAAACUCGACGGGGGGGAAGAGAAAUUAAUUUUUCGAUAUUUACGCGAAAGGAGGAGGAAAGCAGUGAAUUUCGGUGAUCGAGUUUCUCUACGUGUUAUCGCCGGAGAACGUCUAAAUUACACUGACAGUCGUGUACCAAGGCAUUUCCACUGGGACUGGAUGAGACGGCGUAAUUCGUACGAGUACAAAGGCGUAAAUCCGUAGAGUGUAACGUUGCGAGUGGGGCCGGUAAAAUUAAAUUGCACAUUUAAUUAAAAAAGGAGUCAAAUGAGCGUCCAUAUCGAUUUUCAUUUAGUCGGAAAUAUAUCACGUUGCCAAUUAUCAUAAAGUAUUAAAAGUACGUUUGGAUAUAAUUAAAAAACUUUAUAAGAAAUUUCAACUACUUUGUGUACAAAUAAUAAUAUCAUCUCUUUCGCUGUUAAUUAAUCUUCAUUUGUCUAUGGACCGAAAAUAUUUUCACCACGAAUAAAUUAAAUAAGGGUAUCGGUAACGGUCAAUUGCAAUUAGUCAACGUAUAAUCCGCUACGAAUAACAGCGAUGUGUAAAAAAAAAAAACCUCUCCCAUUUGUCAGUCGGUCACGAUGACUUGGCAAUGGAAAAAAAAAAAAGAAAAAAAAACAGCCUUCCAGCAAAAUAUAAGAUCCUAAAUUAAUUAAGAACUAUUGUAAAUUGACGAAGAAAUAAAUCAAGGCUCCAUGUGUUUGUCGUAAA